rnacentral:rRNA from 1 species
UCGAGCGAGUGUGAUUCGAGAGCUUGCUCUCAGAAGUUAGCGGCGGACGGCGUGAGUAACACGUGGGUAACCUGCCCAUAAGACUGGGAUAACUCCGGGAAACCGGGGCUAAUACCGGAUAACAUUUUGAACUGCAUGGUUCGAAAUUGAAAGGCGGCUUCGGCUGUCACUUAUGGAUGGACCCGCGUCGCAUUAGCUAGUUGGUGAGGUAACGGCUCACCAAGGCAACGAUGCGUAGCCGACCUGAGAGGGUGAUCGGCCACACUGGGACUGAUACACGGCCCAGACUCCUACGGGAGGCAGCAGUAGGGAAUCUUCCGCAAUGGACGAAAGUCUGACGGAACAACGCCGCGUGAGUGAUGAAGGCUUUCGGGUCGUAAAACUCUGUUGUUAGGGAAGAACAA